GCCAGACUCCUACGGGAGGCAGCAGUUAGGAAUAUUCGUCAAUGGGGGAAACCCUGAACGAGCAAUGCCGCGUGAACGAUGACGGUCCUCUGGAUUGUAAAGUUCUGUUGUUUGGGAAGAACGGCUCUAAUAGGAAAUGAUUAGAGAUUGACUGUACCAUUCAAGAAAGCCACGGCUAACUCCGUGCCAGCAGCCGCGGUAAUACGGAGGAUGCGAGCGUUAUCCGGAUUUAUUGGGUUUAAAGGGUGCGUAGGCGGAAUGCCAAGUCAGCGGUAAAAUCGCGGGGCUCAACCUCGCUCCGCCGUUGAAACUGGCGUUCUUGAGUGGGCGAGAAGUAUGCGGAAUGCGUGGUGUAGCGGUGAAAUGCAUAGAUAUCACGCAGAACUCCGAUUGCGAAGGCAGCAUACCGGCGCCCAACUGACGCUGAAGCACGAAAGCGUGGGUAUCGAACAGGAUUAGAUACCCGCGUAU
rnacentral:rRNA from 1 species